ensembl:miRNA
UGAGGCAGGAGAAUUGCUUGAACCCAGGAGGUGGAGGCUGCAGUGAGCCGAGAUUGUGCCACUGCACUCCAGCCUGGGUGACAGAGUGAGACUCUGUCUCA